GACGGGGGAUGAAAGCGUUAUCCGGAAUCACUGGGCGUAAAGCGUCUGUAGGUGGUGAUGCAAGUCACUGGUGCAAAACUCUGGCUCAACCGGAGGAAAGCCAGUGAAACUGCAUGACUAGAGUGUGGGAGAGGUAGAAGGAAUUCGCUGAGUAGCGGUGAAAUGCGUAGAUACAGGGAAGAACACCGGAGGCGAAAGCGUUCUACUGGAACACAACUGACACUGAGAGACGAAAGCUACGGGAGCGAAUGGG
rnacentral:rRNA from 1 species